UACGGAGGAUGCAAGCGUUAUCCGGAUUUAUUGGGUUUAAAGGGUGCGCAGGUGGUUGAAUAAGUCAGUGGUGAAAGUCUGCCGCUUAACGGUAGGAUUGCCAUUGAUACUGUUUGACUUGAGUUUAGGUGAGGUAGGCGGAAUGUGUAGUGUAGCGGUGAAAUGCAUAGAUAUUACACAGAACACCGAUUGCGAAGGCAGCUUACUAAUCUACAACUGACACUGAGGCACGAAAGCGUGGGGAU
rnacentral:rRNA from 1 species